GGCAGGGAAUUUCUGGCAGGGCUGGCUAGUGACCAUUAGCAAACACAGCUGCUUUCCCCAUGUUGUUGCCAAUCUGUCCUGCCUGGUUAGCCCAUGCGAUAAGUUCUAACAACUCGGAACACAGCUUACAGCAGCAGCGCUGCCUCGUUAGCCCAUCUCUCUGCUGUAGAGCACUUGAGAAGCAUACCAACAGCAAACAACUGAUAUUGACCACAUCACAACCCACAGCAGCAACCAGCUUCCUUCACUUUUCACACCACCCAAGUGUUCUUAUGCCAAAGUGGUCCCACCCAUCCACAGAUACAUACCAUCACCUUCUAUGACACGGUUGCAGUGGAAACAAACAUCACCAAACAGCUGAGAAGGAAGACAAGAAACGGUGGUGAAAGCUCAAGGUCUUACAGAGGCAGAACUUGAAAUUUCCUGCCUCAGCCACCCAAAUGAUGGGAUCACAGGAGUGCAACACCAUACGGUUCAUACUCGGUUAUCUACCCUAGGGGCCCAACUUGUACUUCUUUGUACCAGUCACAGCCAUUCAGACUCAGUAGAGUGUCUGGCCCACCAACACCAUCUGUGUACCCUGGGAACUCCCUCCAUCUUCUCUUCUCCUGCAGUUGGACUCUGCUCUUCCAUGAUGUCACUUCACAUUCCCAAGACCAUCAUUCCUGACACAAAGAUUCCCAGAGGAAGAAAAGAGUAUCUCCCUACUGCUAAGGCUUGUUUGUUUGUUUGCUUGUUUUCCUGAGACGUAGUGGGAACUCAAGAGUAAUAUGUGUACCAAAGAAUAAAAUUUUAUUCUGUGA